rnacentral:rRNA from 1 species
UACGUGGGGGGCAAGCGUUGUUCGGAAUUACUGGGCGUAAAGGGCUCGUAGGCGGCCAACUAAGUCAGACGUGAAAUCCCUCGGCUUAACCGGGGAACUGCGUCUGAUACUGGAUGGCUUGAGUGUGGGAGAGGGAUGCGGAAUUCCAGGUGUAGCGGUGAAAUGCGUAGAUAUCUGGAGGAACACCGGUGGCGAAGGCGGCAUCCUGGACCACGACUGACGCUGAGGAGCGAAAGCCAGGGGAGCAAACGGG